AGAUUGAACGCUGGCGGCAUGCCUAACACAUUGCAAGUCGAACGGGAGUAGCAAUACUCUAGUGGCGGACGGGUGAGGAAUACGUAGGAAUUUGCCCUUAAGUGGGGGAUAACCCGGGGAAACCCGGAUUAAUACCGCAUGACCUCGAAAGAGCAAAGUGGGGGAUCGCAAGACCUCACGCUUUUGGAGAAGCCUACGUCGGAUUAGCUAGUUGGUGAGGUAAUGGCUCACCAAGGCGACGAUCCGUAACUGGUCUGAGAGGAUGAUCAGUCACACCGGAACUGAGACACGGUCCGGACUCCUACGGGAGCAGCAGUGGGGAAUAUUGGACAA
rnacentral:rRNA from 1 species